UACGUAGGGCGCAAGCGUUGUCCGGAUUUACUGGGCGUAAAGAGCGCGUAGGCGGUCUGUUAAGUGUAGAGUGAAAUCUCCAGGGCUCAACCCGGAAACUGCUCUGCAUACUGGCAGACUGGAGGGACUGAGAGGUGAAUGGAAUUCCUGGUGUAGCGGUGAAAUGCGUAGAUAUCAGGAGGAACACCGAUGGCGAAGGCAGCUCGCUGGGACGGUACUGACGCUGAGGCGCGAAAGCGUGGGGAGCGAACAGG
rnacentral:rRNA from 1 species